rnacentral:rRNA from 1 species
GACGAACGCUGGCGGCGUGCUUAACACAUGCAAGUCGAACGGAAAGGCCCUGCUUGCAGGGUACUCGAGUGGCGAACGGGUGAGUAACACGUGGGUGAUCUGCCCUGCACUUCGGGAUAAGCCUGGGAAACUGGGUCUAAUACCGGAUAGGAGCCAUUUUUAGUGUGAUGGUUGGAAAGUUUUUUCGGUGUAGGAUGAGCUCGCGGCCUAUCCGCUUGUUGGUGGGGUAAUGGCCUACCAAGGCGGCGACGGGUAGCCGGCCUGAGAGGGUGGACGGCCACAUUGGGACUGAGAUACGGCCCAGACUCCUACGGGAGGCAGCAGUGGGGAAUAUUGCACAAUGGGCGCAAGCCUGAUGCAGCGACGCCGCGUGGGGGAUGACGGCCUUCGGGUUGUAAACUCCUUUCGCUAGGGACGAAGCUUUUUGUGACGGUACCUAGAUAAGAAGCACCGGCUAACUACGUG